rnacentral:rRNA from 1 species
UACGUAGGUCCCGAGCGUUGUCCGGAUUUAUUGGGCGUAAAGCGAGCGCAGGUGGUUUAUUAAGUCUGGUGUAAAAGGCAGUGGCUCAACCAUUGUAUGCAUUGGAAACUGGUAGACUUGAGUGCAGGAGAGGCAAAUGGAAUUCCUAGUGUAGCGGUGAAAUGCGUAGAUAUUAGGAGGAACACCAGUGGCGAAGGCGGCUUGCUGGACGAUGACUGACGUUGAGGCUCGAAAGCGUGGGGAGCAAACAGG